rnacentral:lncRNA from 1 species
GAUCUUUCCCUGGAGAGGUGACUCUGGCUGGUCACUUCCUGUGAGCAGGCCUGGGCACCAGUUCAAUCCUGGAACUUGAGCCUGUAGGAGCUCCCUCAGCUGGCUUCCUUGAGACAGUCACAUGGAAAUGGGAUAAAAACAAGGAGCACAGACUUAACCUGAAUAGUGCCAAAAAGAGCACACAGGAAAAACUAGUGUGAGACUCGAGAAUGCGACGCUUGACAUAUGUUAAGUCGUAGGACUUCCUUGUAUGCACACUAUUUGUGAAGUGCUCAGACAAGUACCAGAGUUUGGCUAUCAUCCUGGCUCCCCAUAUCCCUGAGAAUGGCAAAAACAAAAUCAUACCAGGGAAUGACACUUCCCUAUCAAAUCAAAAUUCUAGUUUUUUUUUUUUCUUCUUAUAGUAUGGCAACUUCCUGUAGUCUUGGCUGCAAAUGGGUAAAUGUAAUAUUACUGCAUUAUGUACAAACACAGAACUCAAGAGAAUCACCAAAAGUGGCUUUGUAA